GCGAAUAAGAGCGCAGGGUGGAUGCCUUGGCACUAAGAGCCGAUGAAAGACGUGAUAAGCUGCGAAAAGCUUCGGGGAGGAGCAAAUAUCCAUUGAUCCGGAGAUAUCUGAAUGGGGAAACCCACUGGAGGAAACCUCCAGUAUCCAUACGCCAAUCCAUAACGUAUGGAGGGGAACCCGGUGAACUGAAACAUCUAAGUAGCCGGAGGAAGAGAAAGAAACAUCGAUUCCGGGAGUAGCGGCGAGCGAAACCGGAAGAGCCCAAACCAGGGUGCGUGCACCCUGGGGUUCGGACCGCAAAUUGAUUCUGAUUUAGGGGAAUGGUUUUGGGAAAGCCAGCCAAAGAGGGUGAAAGCCCGUAGCGAAACAAAAGGAAGCAUGGCGGGAUCCAGAGUACCACGAGACACGUGGAACCUUGUGGGAAUAAGCGGGGACCACCCCGUAAGGCUAAAUACUACUUAGUGACCGAUAGCGCAUAGUACUGUGAAGGAAAGGUGAAAAGAACCCCGGGAGGGGAGUGAAAGAGAACUGAAACCCUGUGUUACAAGCUGUGGAAGACGAGAGGCGACCGCGUACUUUUUGUAGAACGGUCCGGCGAGUUGCCGGGCUGGGCAGGUUAAGUGCCAUACGUACGGAGCCGAAGGGAAAGCAAGCCUUAACAGGGCCACAAGUCAGGCCAGCGCAGACCCGAAACCGGGUGAUCUACCCAUGUCCAGGAUGAAGCUGCCGUAAAAGGCGGUGGAGGUCCGAAGCACAUCCGUUGAAAAGGGUGGCAUGAGGUGUGGGUAGGGGAGAAAUUCCAAUCGAACCCGGAGAUAGCUGGUUCUCCUCGAAAUAGCUUUAGGGCUAGCCUCGUCAAGUCUGAUGGAGGUAGAGCACUGAAUUUCCGCGGGGCGUCAAAGCUUACCGAAGAAUAUCAAACUCCGAAUGCCAUACAGAAUGAGACGGGAGUCAGACUGCACGAGAUAAGUUGGGCAGUCAAAAGGAAAGAGCCCAGACCUGCGGCUAAGGUCCCGAAGUGCGUGUUAAGUGGAAAAGGAUGUGGGAUUUCAAAGACAACCAGGAUGUUGGCUCAGAAGCAGCCACACAUUCAAAGAGUGCGUAAUAGCUCACUGGUCGAGAGGUCCUGCGCCGAAAAUGUCCGGGGCUGAAACACGCCGCCGAAGCCCGGGAAUGCCGUGAAGCAUUGGUAGAGGAGCAUUGCGAGCGCGACGAAGCGUGCCGUAAGGCGCAGUGGAGAGCAGGAAGAGAGAAUGCCGGAAUGAGUAGCGAGAGGAAGGGUGGGAAUCCUCCGGCCGAAUAUCCAAGGUUUCCAGGGUAAAGCUGAUCUGCCCUGGGUAAGUCGGGGCCUAAGGCGAGGCGGGGACGCGUAGCCGAUGGACAACAGGUGGAGAUUCCUGUACUGCGUAUGACAGAAACUGUGGGGACAUGCGGGAGGCGGGAGCCGGGAAAGGAAGCCGGUGCAAGCGCAGGAGCGUGCGGAGGAAAACCCUGCACAAGCCAAAGGCGUGAUGCGGACCGAAAUAGAGUAGGGAAGCACGGGAGCCUGCGUCGAGAAAAGCCGCUAUGCUCAUACGUACCCGUACCGUAAACCGACACAGGUGAUGGGAGAGAAUCCAAGGCCGGCGGGAGAAGCAUUGUCAAGGAACUCGGCAAAAUGACCCCGUAACUUCGGGAGAAGGGGUGCCGCGCGAGAGCGGCCGCAGAGAAUAGGCUCAAGCAACUGUUUAGCAAAAACACAGGUCUAUGCGAAACCGAAAGGUGAUGUAUAUGGGCUGACGCCUGCCCGGUGCUGGAAGGUUAAGGGAGGGGUCUAGCGGUAAACCCGCGAAGCUUUGAACUUAAGCCCCAGUAAACGGCGGCCGUAACUAUAACGGUCCUAAGGUAGCGAAAUUCCUUGUCGGGUAAGUUCCGACCCGCACGAAAGGCGUAAUGAUUUGAGCGCUGUCUCGACAAUGCACCCGGUGAAAUUGAAGUGCCAGUGAAGAUGCUGGCUACCUGCGCCAGGACGGAAAGACCCCAUGGAGCUUUACUCCAGCUUGACACUGGGAUCCGGUGCUGCAUGUACAGGAUAGGUGGGAGGCAGAGGAAAGGGGACGCCAGUCCGCCGGAGCCGCCGUUGGGAUACCACCCUUGCAGCAUUGGGUUUCUAACCGCCGCCGUGAACCGGCGGGGGACAACUGUCUGGCGGGGAGUUUGACUGGGGCGGUCGCCUCCGAAAGGGUAUCGGAGGCGCUCAAAGGUUCCCUCAGAAUGGUCGGAAACCAUUCGAGAGCGCAAAGGCAGAAGGGAGCUUGACUGCGACACCGACGGGUGGAGCAGGUACGAAAGUAGGACUUAGUGAUCCGGUGGUAUUAAGUGGGAAUGCCAUCGCUCAACGGAUAAAAGCUACCCUGGGGAUAACAGGCUUAUCACUCCCAAGAGUUCACAUCGACGGAGUGGUUUGGCACCUCGAUGUCGGCUCAUCGCAUCCUGGGGCUGCAGCAGGUCCCAAGGGUUGGGCUGUUCGCCCAUUAAAGCGGUACGCGAGCUGGGUUCAGAACGUCGUGAGACAGUUCGGUCCCUAUCCGGCGCGGGCGCAGGAUAUUUGAGAGGAGCCGUCCUUAGUACGAGAGGACCGGGACGGACGGACCGCUGGUGCACCUGCUGGCUUACCAAGGCCAUGGCAGGGUAGCCAAGCCGGGAGGGAUAAACGCUGAAGGCAUCUAAGCGUGAAGCCCCCCUCAAGAUGAGAUAUCCCAUGCGAAAGCAGUAAGACCCCUUAAAGACGAUAAGGUAGAUAGGCAGAGUGGAAGUGCAGCAAUGCAUGGAGCUGACUGCUACUAAUCGGUCGAGGCUUGACCAG
rnacentral:rRNA from 1 species